rnacentral:rRNA from 1 species
UAGGGAAUCUUCCGCAAUGGACGAAAGUCUGACGGAGCGACGCCGCGUGAGCGAAGAAGGCCUUCGGGUUGUAAAGCUCUGUUGUCAGGGAAGAACAAGUACCGUUCGAACAGGGCGGUACCUUGACGGUACCUGACGAGGGAGCCACGGCUAACUACGUGCCAGCAGCCGCGGUAAUACGUAGGUGGCAAGCGUUGUCCGGAAUUAUUGGGCGUAAAGCGCGCGCAGGCGGUCCCUUAAGUCUGAUGUGAAAGCCCACGGCUUAACCGUGGAGGGUCAUUGGAAACUGGGGGACUUGAGUGCAGAAGAGGAGAGCGGAAUUCCACGUGUAGCGGUGAAAUGCGUAGAGAUGUGGAGGAACACCAGUGGCGAAGGCGGCUCUCUGGUCUGUAACUGACGCUGAGGCGCGAAAGCGUGGGGAGCAAACAGG